rnacentral:rRNA from 1 species
GAUGAACGCUGGCGGCAUGCCUUACACAUGCAAGUCGAACGGCAGCACGGGAGCAAUCCUGGUGGCGAGUGGCGAACGGGUGAGUAAAGCAUCGGAACGUGCCCAGUAGUGGGGGAUAACCAGUCGAAAGACUGGCUAAUACCGCAUACGACCUACGGGUGAAAGCGGGGGACCGCAAGGCCUCGCGCUACUGGAGCGGCCGAUGUCUGAUUAGCUAGUUGGCGGGGUAAGAGCCCACCAAGGCGACGAUCAGUAGCCGGUCUGAGAGGACGACCAGCCACACUGGGACUGAGACACGGCCCAGACUCCUACGGGAGGCAGCAGUGGGGAAUUUUGGACAAUGGGCGAAAGCCUGAUCCAGCCAUGCCGCGUGCGGGAAGAAGGCCUUCGGGUUGUAAACCGCUUUUGGCAGGAACGAAACGGCGCGGGCCAAUACCCCGCGCUAAUGACGGUACCUGCAGAAUAAGCACCGGCUAACUACGUGCCAGCCGCCGCCGUAA